GUUAAGCUACUGCAUAUUUAGUUUUGGUUUUGUUUAUUUGUGUGUGUAUAGUUUAAAGUAACUCUUUGAAAAGUCAACAAGUUUUUUUGAUCAAUUAAUCACAGGAGUUCUCAUAUUUGAUAUAGCUGUGCUGUAGUUACCUAUAUUUUCAGGAAGUUUAAUGUAGGGUGGACCACAUGGACAGCUCCUUAGUGGUCAAUGAAAAUAAGGUCAUUUUCUUCAGCGUCACUAAUGAUCUGUCACAACAUCAGACGUGAGUCUCCAUAUCUUCCUCCUCUGUAGGUUUUUCUGUGUCCUACCAAACACACAUCAGUUUUCUCACAUGACAAUCUAUGUGUGGAGUUCACUUCACUGACGGAAGAAAGUGGAAAAUAUGUCUUUGUCUUAUAUUCUUCUCAUUUAUGUCGCCGGUGUUGCGGUAAAAGAAAGUUGUGCAGGUACAUAUUACCAAAUGGCACUUCAUUAAUUAUCCAGCUCAACAGCUAUUGAUUUAUUUCAGAUUCGGUUCCCACUCCCACUAUUGUAUUUUCCUCUGGGUACAUCAAUGUAGCUACACCUGUUACAGUACGCUGUGAGUCACCAAAAGGCACAGAGUGCAAGUUCUACAGAGAUCACCAACCCAACCCUAUAAGAAAACUGGAUUACAAGCAGGGUGCUUGCCAGUUCAAGUUGUUAUGGAAUGAGUUCAAAAAGUGGAACAAGACUGAAGUUGAUCUCAGCUGUGUAAUUCUACAGAAUAGAGAAGAUAAAACGAUCAAAACCUCAAAACCUAGUGAUGCUCGAAGACUUAUAGUGAGUGAUCCAAUUGGAAUGCCCAGUGUUCAUGUGGAGAAGAUCGGGAAUUACCUCAAUCUUCGAUGUGAGGCCAAGGCUUGCACCUCAUGCUACUUUUAUCUGAACAAUGGUGACUCACACUUUAAUAAACAACCCUACAAAGACAAUGUCUGUGUGGGGAGAGUGGCAGAAGAGGAACUGCAGAGGAAGAUGAGCAGUGCUGGAGAGAACUUCAUCACCUGUGCUGUGGAGCUGGUGAUAGAGGGUGAAGAUACUGUGACAUCACAGCAUAGUGAACCCCUCGGUAUCACCAUAGAUGUUGUAAAUCCUCCAGGAGCAACUAGUUCCCCGUCAGAGUUCAGUUUAAUCAUACCUGUUCAGGAGGAGACAAGCAGCAAUGUCACAGCCCAAGGAAGAGAAUCCGUCUCAGUGAUCCCCUUCUACCAGUAUACCAGUCUUCGUGCUGUUGUCUAUGUUAUCAUUCUGCUGAUGGAAUUUGUUCUGUGUCUUCUCUGGUAUAGACGUGGUACAUGCCUUCUCAUACUCAUACACAACAUGUAACGGAUGUAGAAACUUCAUUUGAUUACUCUUUUAUUUCUGAGAAUUUUCCUGCACAGCAGGAAAUGCAAACUUGCAGUGCAUUUGAGCAUUAGAAAUGCUUCUAAAGUGUGUAAUUUCCGCUUUGAAAUUUUCAAACUUGAUUUUCCUAAAAGAAAUGUAUCAACCCCAACAAAAAUAUCCAUUAAUUAUCAUCCACAUAAUAAUUCACAUUUCCUGUUGCUGCAGGAUUAUUUUCCUGCAGUAGCAAACUGUCUCAAAUUAAGAUCCUACAUCUGUUUGUUGUUCCGAAGGCUUUUGUCAUGUAUUUUAUUAGCUAUACAACCUGGCGGUAGGAUUUGUUUUCAUCAUACUUUUAUCUCUGAAGUUGAUCCACAAGGCAAUGUCAAACGGAGGUAACAGUGGUCUAUUUAUUCAUAAAUAUUUACUCAUGCAUUUUUUUACAUUAUCUGUUUGAAUAUACUGGUGAAUUGUCGUGUGUUGACCAAAACCCAUCUAAGCUGCAAUUUGUGUGUGUAGAACAAUGCUCUUUACUCCCCACUGCUUGUUAAUGUAUUUUAUAUUAUGCAAAGUGUUUCAUGUGUAAUGAGUUUAUAUGUCUAAAAUACAGCUAUUUUAUUAGCAUUUCAUUUUUUCUGCUCAUGGAUGUUGUGUUUUCCAGUGGAAAUAAAGCUUGUACAUUAUAUUGUAAAUCUUGUUGGAAAUGUUUAUUUUCUUUGGAAGUUGAGGAGCCACUCUGAGAGGAGACAGCAUUGUGUUUAGAUUA